AUAUCAAUAAGCGGAGGAAAAGAAACCAACAGGGAUUGCCCUAGUAACGGCGAGUGAAGCGGCAACAGCUCAAAUUUGAAAUCUGGCGCAAGCCCGAGUUGUAAUUUGUAGAGGAUGUUUCUGGCGACGUGCCUUCCGAGUUCCCUGGAACGGGACGCCAUAGAGGGUGAGAGCCCCGUACGGUUGGAUGCCUAGCCUCUGUGAAACUCCUUCGACGAGUCGAGUAGUUUGGGAAUGCUGCUCUAAAUGGGAGGUAUACGUCUUCUAAAGCUAAAUACCGGCCAGAGACCGAUAGCGCACAAGUAGAGUGAUCGAAAGAUGAAAAGCACUUUGAAAAGAGGGUUAAAAAGUACGUGAAAUUGUUGAAAGGGAAGCGUUCAUGACCAGACUUGGGCAGGUUGAUCAUCCGUGGUUCUCCGCGGUGCACUCUGCCUGCCCAGGCCAGCAUCAGUUCGCCCCGGGGGAUAAAGGCUCUGGGAAUGUGGCUCCUUCGGGAGUGUUAUAGCCCACUGCGUAAUACCCUGGGGUGGACUGAGGUUCGCGCAUCUGCAAGGAUGCUGGCGUAAUGGUCAUCAACGACCCGUCUUGAAACACGGACCAAGGAGUCGUCUUCGUAUGCGAGUGUUCGGGUGUCAAACCCCUACGCGUAAUGAAAGUGAACGUAGGAGAGAGCUUCGGCGCAUCUCCGACCGAUCCUGAUGUUCUCGGAUGGAUUUGAGUAAGAGCAUACGGGGCCGGACCCGAAAGAAGGUGAACUAUGCCUGUAUAGGGUGAAGCCAGAGGAAACUCUGGUGGAGGCUCGCAGCGGUUCUGACGUGCAAAUCGAUCGUCAAAUAUGGGCAUGGGGGCGAAAGACUAAUCGAACCUUCUAGUAGCUGGUUUCCGCCGA
rnacentral:rRNA from 1 species